GGGAGAAUGAGAUGUGUACCAAACACAUAAACCACAACACGUUUUCCAGCACACGUGGAGAGAUCCCCUGAGCCUAGCCAUAGCCAUGAAUGGGGCUGCAGGACAUUGCUCGUAUCGAGGUAAGUGAUAUGCUAGGCUGAAACCACAAAUGUUUAGUAAGUUGGUAACAUGUGCUGACACUUCUUGUUAUCAUGAUUUUGUUACAGGGAUUCAGGUAAGAAAUAAAAAUCCUUACCAAUUCUAGAGACUAUACAUUUUUACUUUUUACAUUUUAGAUAAAAUUUCUGUUUAACACCAUACAUGUUAAGAGAUCAUAGGUAUGUAGGUAUUUGUCAUGGUUUUCCCCGCCACAGUACUACCUAUAUGAUUUUUUACAGGUGUGCAGUCAGGAAAUGAUGGUUUUCUGACAUUGGUGUUGACCUGGGAGUACUAUUCCUGUCAAGAGAUCACAGUGAACCUAAUACUGGUCAUUAAUGGGGGCAGGGAUGUUGCUGGUAUGCAGGUAAGGGAGGCUGUGGGCCUAAACCACG